AGUAAUUACAGAAAGAAAGAGGCAAUGUAUUAAGAAUGUAUCCAGUGCCACUUCAAUCAAGUAAGUUUCACUUUUUUCUGGUGAUUAUUUUUAUUUUAUUAUGUUAUAUGUGGAAUAUGGAUGGAGAGAUUUUAUAUACACCCUCUUUUUAUUUGUAGACAUCUUAAUAUAUCCAGCCAUUUUUUCAGGAGUUUACUCUAACUACUACCAUGUCAUGGGAGAUGAAAACUCACCAAGGAUUUGAUUCCUUUGUGAUUCAAAUAUCUUUGGUAUACUAACUAAUUAGUACUGUUGGAUAUCCUUGAUCACGUAUAAUUAUGUUGUUGAGUGAGGCAAGUGAUCAAGAAAAACAAUCAAAUUCCAGAAACAGAACAAGGAGGAGCAAAACCAUGAAAAAGCUAAAAAUCAUUCAAAUUCCAGAAACAUAACAAGGAGGAGGAGGCCAAACCAUGAAAAAUGAUUGAUUUCAGAUUCUCUAAUUUUCAAGACUUAAG
rnacentral:lncRNA from 1 species